rnacentral:tRNA from 1 species
GGAGAAGUCGCCUAGCCCGGUCUAUGGCGCCCGCCUGCUAAGCGGGUUGAGGACCAAAAUCCUCUCGAGGGUUCAAAUCCCUCCUUCUCCGCCA